CCUACGGGAGGCAGCAGUGAGGAAUAUUGGUCAAUGGACGAGAGUCUGAACCAGCCAAGUAGCGUGAAGGAUGACUGCCCUAUGGGUUGUAAACUUCUUUUAUAAAGGAAUAAAACGAGGCACGUGUGCCUUUUUGCAUGUACUUUAUGAAUAAGGAUCGGCUAACUCCGUGCCAGCCGCCGCGGUAAUACGGAGGAUCCGAGCGUUAUCCGGAUUUAUUGGGUUGAAAGGGAGCGUAGAUGGGUUGUUAAGUCAGUUGUGAAAGUUUGCGGCUCAACCGUAAAAGUGCAAUUGAUACUGGCAGUCUUGAGUAUAGUUGAGGUAGGCGGAAUUCGUGGUGUAGCGGUGAAAUGCUUAGAUAUCACGAAGAACCCCGAUUGCGAAGGCAGCUUACUAAACUGUGACUGACAUUGAUGCUCGAAAGUGUGGGUAUCAAACAGGAUUAGAUACCCCGGUAGUC
rnacentral:rRNA from 1 species